CGGGCGCCGGACGAGCUCACCGUUUGGGCAGUGAUGCUGCCCUUCCUGCCCGAGGCGUGGCACGGGCGCGAGGUGCUGAUCUUUGGCGCCUGU
rnacentral:tRNA from 1 species